AGGUCACAGCGGGCAGGGGGGAGGGCUGGGGGGCUGGGGGUGCCAGCAGGGACCUCCCAUGUGUGUGUACAACACGCUGCAGGCGCGUGUGACAUCUCUGCCAGGCGUGGGACGUGACAUCAGGGUGUGCUGUGACAUCACUGUGGGUGGGAGAUGACCUGUGAGGUGCUGGCAUGAGAUGGGUGGUGAUGUCACUACUGGACAAGUGACAGCUGCUGUGACACCAUGCAGGCGUGUGUGACAUCACUGCUGGGUGUGUGACAUCUUACAGGUGUGUGUGAUGUCACUGCUGGGUGUGUGACAGCUUACAGGUGUGUGACAGCUUACUGGAUGUGUGGCACCAUGCAGGUGUGUGUGAUGUCACUGUUGGACGUGUGGCACCAUGCAGGUGUGUGUGACAUCACUGCUGCGUGUGUGACACACAUCACAGGUACACCAUGGUAUCUGUGAUGGCUGGAGUGACAUCAUUCCACUGUGUGUGAUGUCACCACCAGGCGUGACUGGGGGUGUGACAUCAUACAGGCACGUGUCACAUUGCUGCUGGGUGAUGGUAGGUGUGACAUCAUGCAGGCACAGGUGACAUCCCUGAUGGACAUGUGACAUGUGUGUAUGGCAUGAUCCAGGCACCAGUGAGGCGCUGUGAUGUCACACACUCAUUGUGGUAUUGUACCUCUGACACAGGGAGUGACAUCAUGGUCACAGGUGUGACAUCACGGUCAUGGGUGUGACCACACGUCCAUCGUGAUGUCACCUCACCCUGAGGAGCUUGGCUGGUGCCCUGUGACAUCACCCUGCCUAUGACAUCACCCAGAAGGUCGUGGGACAUCCCUCCCCGCCUCGAAAUCCGCACAAACUCACCCAAAGCGCCGGUGCUGGGCAGCGCAGCAGCUUUUAAUCAGAAAACCCCUAAAAAAAGUGUGUGUGUGUGUCCCCAUCACCUCCCUCCCCCCACCCCUACUUUCUUUUGUGAAAAAAUCCCGCAUUUCACCUGAUAUAUAGAUAUAGAAAAAAAAACCCAUAAAAGGGGACCCCCCCUGAGGCAGGGCUGGGGCUGGUUUGGGGGGUGAUAUUUAUGGGGUCCCUCCAAAUGCAGAGAGCCCCUGCACCCAUUAAACACACCCACGAUGAGUCCA